CAGCCGCCGCGGGAAUACAGAGGGUGCAAGCGUUAAUCGGAAUUACUGGGCGUAAAGCGCGCGUAGGUGGUUUUGUAAGACAGAGGUGAAAUCCCCGGGCUCAACCUGGGAACUGCCUUUGUGACUGCAAGGCUAGAGUACGGCAGAGGGGGAUGGAAUUCCGCGUGUAGCAGUGAAAUGCGUAGAUAUGCGGAGGAACACCGAUGGCGAAGGCAAUCCCCUGGGCCUGUACUGACGCUCAUGCACGAAAGCGUGGGGAGCAAACAGGAUUAGAUACCCCUGUAGUCCCUGUCUCUUAUAU
rnacentral:rRNA from 1 species